rnacentral:lncRNA from 1 species
AGAAGCACCAUUAUUAUCAACCCUAGGGCGUUUAAUAUCACCACCACCACCAGCUGCUCCACUCAAGAGGCGAGCGGCAAUCUCCUGAGCUUUUUGCUUAGCCAUCUGGAUCUCAUCAACAGGUGGUGGGACGCUGUUGUAAGUAGGCGGAGCAUGAGCAUGAGCUGAGUCAGGCGAUGAAAAGCCGGUAGCGCGGCGAGUUGAUGGUGGCGGCGGUGUUUGGUCGUCGUAUUUGCGCUUGUUUGUAGUGGUGGCGGUGGCAUCCGCGGCCGAAGAGUACUGAGAUUCGUCCGCCA